rnacentral:rRNA from 1 species
CAAAGCAGGCUAGUGCCUGAAUACAUUAGCAUGGAAUAAUAAAAUAGGACGGCAUGGUUCUAUUUUGUUGGUUUCUAGGAUCACCGUAAUGAUUAAUAGGGAUAGUUGGGA